AAGUAAUUAGCUCAAUUGGUAGAGCGUUUCGCUUACAACGAAGAUGUUAUGGGUUCGAGUCCAAUAUUACUUA
rnacentral:tRNA from 1 species